rnacentral:lncRNA from 10 species
CUUCUUACAGCGACCUGGCCCUGCCCCCAUGCAGCCUAGGCAGGCCUUGGCACAGUCUGGAGAGAGGAGAGAAAGAUGAGGGUGAGAUGUGCACCUAGGCCCAGGGGAGCCACGCUCCAGAAGCGGAGGCCUGGGGGUGCUCUGAAGCCUGAGAAGGGGAAGGUUUGGAGGGACAGGUGUGGAGCAGCUCUUCCUCCACUCCUCACGUCCCCUCCUCUGCAGAAGUAGACACUGACCUCGGCACUCAUAGGAGCCCUCAGUGUUCACGCAGAAUUGGUCAGCUCCACAGUUGGCUCCCUCUGUGCCACACUCAUCAAUGUCUGCAGAGAGGUGAGCAGGGUGAGAAUUUCAAUCCCUAUUUAGUAGGGAAGCUGAAGCCAGAGCCGUUGGGGAAUGGUCUUGCCUGGGAUUAAAUGGUAUGGCAGAGACUGCAAGCUGUCUACCAACACAGAAGCAGACUAGCUGGACUUCAGGCUGCCCAGCCAGAGACCACAUUUGCCAACCUGUCUUGAAGCUAAGUGUGUCCCUGUGAUUGAGUUCUGGCCAACAGGAUGUAAACAGGAGUGAUGAGCUCCACCGUUAGCUUGGUCUUAAAACAAUGCUUGGACUCCUCAAUGCACUUUCUUUCCCUUCUCCCUUCCUGAGUGCUGGCAUGUGGGACACAGAGAUGCCCAGGACUCAGCUUCAACCAUGCAGACAACGCCCAAGGGGAUGAUUGUGCAGACUUGGCCAAAGUAACGCCUCCUCCAAGAAGCCUUUCCUGAUUCCCCAUCACCACUUCCACUGAACUAGAUCAGAGGCAUCUCUCACUGUACACAGGGACUAUACUACACAGUACCUGUGUACUGGACUGUAAGUAUCUGGUUACUUUUCUGCCUUCCCAGCCAGGUUGAGAUCUCCAUGAAGGUGGAGACUAGGCUAGUCUAGCCCAGGCUUGUGUUGAGAGAAUAAAGGACCAAGCCCAGGCCCCUGACCAUCUUCCCAGACCUAGCUAGGGCCCCACUUACCUACACACUUGAGGUGAUGCAGGGCCCAGCCCUUCUUGCAUUGCAAACAGUUUGAUUCCUCAGGUCCUGAGCAUCGGGCACAGGGGCCAAAACAAGCUGGGUGGAAUGGGGGCAGCAUGAGGAUGGGCAGGCAGGUGCCCCAUCUGCCCCUGCCCAGUGCCACACCUUUUGGCUACCUACCCGAACAUACCAGAUGGCUGGCGUUGCGUUCUGCCUCAAAGUAGCCAAGGCCACACUGGCCACAGGCCUCACCCCCGUAGCCGGCUUGGCAGUCACAGUGCCCGCUGCCCCCUCGUGUCCCUUCUCCUUCACACUGCCCGUAGCCACCGCAGGGCCUCUCUGUUCCCCCAGGACAGGCUGUGGGAAGACACCAAACCAGGUGAGGUCAUCUAUACAACCUUGAUAUACAAGAUAAUAUUUUCUCCCUCUCCCUCUCCCUCUCCCUUGCCUUCCCUCCCUCCCCCCCUCCCCUCCCCCUCCCCCUUUCCCUCUCCCUCUCCCCAUGGCCUCCCUCUCCCUCUCCCCAUGGUCUCCCUCUCCCUCUCUUUACACGGUCUCCCUCUGAUGCCAAGCUGAAGCUGGACUGUACUGCUGCCAUCUCGGCUCACUGCAACCUCCCUGCCUGAUUCUCCUGCCUCAACCUGCCGAGUGCCUGCGAUUGCAGGCGCGCGCCACCACGCCUGACUGGUUUUCGUAUUUUUUUGGUGGAGACGGGGUUUCGCUGUGUUGGCCGGGCCGGUCUCCAGCUCCUAAACGCGAGUGAUCC